rnacentral:rRNA from 1 species
GACGAACGCUGGCGGCGUGCUUAACACAUGCAAGUCGAACGGAAAGGCCCUGCUUUUGUGGGGUGCUCGAGUGGCGAACGGGUGAGUAACACGUGAGUAACCUGCCCUUGACUUUGGGAUAACUUCAGGAAACUGGGGCUAAUACCGGAUAGGAGCUCCUGCUGCAUGGUGGGGGUUGGAAAGUUUCGGCGGUUGGGGAUGGACUCGCGGCUUAUCAGCUUGUUGGUGGGGUAGUGGCUUACCAAGGCUUUGACGGGUAGCCGGCCUGAGAGGGUGACCGGCCACAUUGGGGCUGAGAUACGGCCCAGACCCCUACGGGAGGCAGCAGUGGGGAAUAUUGGACAAUGGGCGGGAGGCUGAUGCAGGAACGCCGCGUGCGGGAUGACGGCCUUCGGGUUGGAAACCGCUUUUGCCUGGGAAGGAGCGUGAGUGACGGUAAUUGGUAAAGAAGCACCGGCUAACUACGUG